ensembl:lncRNA
UUGGGCUACAACGGUUGUACUGAUGUAUAGCAACUAGAAAUGCUCCGAAAAAUGGCACUACAGCAAUAUAAAGAUAAGUUCUGGCGGACUUGAUUCUAUGGUAGGUCUUAAAGGGUUAAUGCAAAUGCGGAGUUUAGCGUCGGCGGAAAGAUCGCGGCGCAUGCCAUGUAUUAAACAGCGCCAGCUGCAGCCUCACAUAGGCUGAUACUAGCGGUGGAGGAGAGACGAAAAAGCAGGAUACAGCCGAAAUGCUGCCCUGCUCCAACUUCAGUUUUACACGCAGAAAGUUUGAGCAGACUUUUCUUGUGUUUUUCGUCUCCCUGUGGACUUUGGAUAAAUAUGGCAUUUUCUAGUUUUUGAGUGCACUCACUCACCUGUAAGGGCAGUUGAGUCAGUGAAAUCUGUCCAUGGAUGUCGGUGUGUGCAGAAUGUGAGGGGAAAGAAGAGCAGACAGCAGCAGGAGAAGAUGAUCUGCAGGAUCCUGCUGCUCAUCAUCCUCACCUCAUGUGUCUCUGGAUCAUUUGUAGUCAAUGUGACACAGACCUGCUAUCAGGCAGAGGAGAACCACAACAUCACACUGGAGUGGACGUUCACCACCAAACCUGACAGAUCCUCCAAAACUCUCAACAUCCUCUGUGAACUCUUUAUCAGUGAUAACAUCUCAGUCGUGUAUCAUGUUCAUGAAGGUGUUGAGGUGUCAGAGUCUCAGGAUCCAAAGUUUUCAGGACGAGUCCAGAGUGACAAAGACGCCCUCAGAGAAGGACGAAUCAGACUUCAACUGUCCAGACUGAGGACUGAUGACUCGGGUCUGUACCUGUGUGAGGUCAACACUGAUUAUGGCUUCAGUGUUGGAAGAUGUCGACUCAACGUCACUGGAGAGAUUAAGUCUAAAUUUCUGGUGCUUUAUAACUUUAUUGAUACAAAACUGGAUGCUUCUCGUGACAUUGAGGUAACUUUCAGCAUUUUCUUUCUCUUUAAAAUGCUUUUUUAUUUUAUUCCUUACUGACAGUGAAAUUUAACACAAUCAACAAAUAAAUCUGUUUAGAUGAUGAGUCAGAGUGUGAUCCAGGUUAAUGAUAUAAUCAGGAACGGGCUUAGUGGUUUGCUGACAGUUGCCAUGAGCAGUUACGGAUGUUUCAGUGUAGGACAGCCUGAAUUUAAAUAACCGGUUUUCAACAAGUAGUGACUGAGUUAAAUGAAGCAAUCAGAACAAGCUGGGAAGCAUCUGAUUGUAGACAUUUUCAGACAGUUUCAGUUUUCUCUCAAUUGUUUAUUCACUGAGCAGCUUUCAGAUGUGGUGGAAUAGAGACUCCCAUCAUGGAUGUGCACCUGACAAAUAUGCAGAAAUGUGUGACACUGUCAUGUCAAUAUGGAUCAAAAUCUCUGAGGAAUGUUAAUACAUAAACUUGGAACUCUGAGUUAUAAUAAAAUGAGUGUGAACUAUAAAAACAUUUCAAAAAGAUAAAAUAAAUGGAGGCGACUGCACUCACCUCCAUUUUGCAUGUGGUUAAUUUGCAUAGCAGAGCUCUCCAAACUCUUGAAUAUUCAUCACAGGUGUGGAUGCAGGAAAUAAUGACGCAAACAAAACCAAUUGGCUGCACAGCAUGGGGCUGGAGGAGACGCACCAGUUACAUCAGGAAGGAGAUGAAAAAGCAUGUGAAGUGGUUGAGACUCGUGCAGCAAACAUGAGACUCCUCCCACCAAACAUAUUUGAGUUGUCCUGCGGGAAGGACCCGACUCACUGGUUCAAAAGACGCCGAG